CUGUAGACCCGAAGCCGAGUGAUCUAUCCAUGGGCAGGUUGAAGCGGGGGUAAGACUCCGUGGAGGACCGAACCCACGUCAGUUGAAAAUGGCGGGGAUGACCUGUGGAUAGGGGUGAAAGGCCAAGCAAACUCGGUGAUAGCUGGUUCUCUCCGAAAUGCAUCUAGGUGCAGCGUCGCGUGUUCAGUCAUGGAGGUAGAGCACUGGAUGGGAUAGGGGGCCUACAAGCUUACCGAACCCAGCCAAACUCCGAAUGCCAUGACUCCAGAGCGCGGCAGUGAGACCACGGGGGAUGAGCUUCGUUGGUCGAAAGGGAAACAGCCCAGACCGCCGGCUAAGGCCCCUAAUUCUGGACUAAGUGGAAAACGAUGUGGAACUGCCCAGACAGCCAGGAGGUUGGCUUAGAAGCAGCCACCCUUGAAAG
rnacentral:rRNA from 1 species